UGGGGAAUUUUGGACAAUGGGCGCAAGCCUGAUCCAGCAAUGCCGCGUGCAGGAUGAAGGCCUUCGGGUUGUAAACUGCUUUUGUACGGAGCGAAAAGGUCUGCCCUAAUACGGUGGGCUCAUGACGAUACCGUAAGAAUAAGCACCGGCUAACUACGUGCCAGCAGCCGCGGUAAUACGUAGGGUGCGAGCGUUAAUCGGAAUUACUGGGCGUAAAGCGUGCGCAGGCGGUUAUAUAAGACAGAUGUGAAAUCCCCGGGCUCAACCUGGGACCUGCAUUUGAGACUGGCAAGCUAGAGUACGGUAGAGGGGGAUAGAAUUCCGCGUGUAGCAGUGAAAUGCGUAGAUAUGCGGAGGAACACCGGUGGCGAAGGCAAUCCCCUGGACCUGUACUGACGCUCAUGCACGAAAGCGUGGGGAGCAAACA
rnacentral:rRNA from 1 species